GAGCCAGGUACCCGCGGGCGGCCCUGCCGGCCACCUCCUCGGCUGGGCGAGCUGCGAGAGCGGCGGAGCGGCCUCCCGCGGGGCCCGGAGGCGGAGGAGCAGCGGCCUAAAGGAGCCCGGGAAGGGCUGUGCGGGGGCAGCGAGCCGGGCCGGGCGCGCUCCGCUCCUCGCCGCUCCUGGCGGGAGGGCCGGGAGGAGGGAGCGGCGGAGCUCGGAGCUGCCCGGCUGCACCCGGAGGAGCAUGCACUGGAGCGGCUGCACCCGGCGGAGCAUGCACUGGAGCGGCUGCACCCGGCGGAGCAUGCACUGAGCGGCUGCACCGGCGGAGCGUGCACCGAGCUGCUGUCUCGGCUCGGAGCAUGCGGUGAGCGGCUCGGAGCCAUCGCCGCCCGGUGCGCGUUGCAUGGUGCGGGGAUCCCCGGUCUCGAUAAUAAAUGAUAGAGGAUACAAUGACUUUGCUGUCUCUGCUGGGUCGGAUCAUGCGUUACUUCUUGCUUAGACCGGAGACCUUGUUCUUGCUGUGCAUCAGCCUGGCCCUGUGGAGUUACUUCUUCCACACGGAUGAGGUGAAAACCAUUGUUAAGUCCAGCAGGGAUGCGGUGAAGAUGGUGAAGGGCAAGGUGGCAGAGAUCAUGCAGAAUGACAGGCUCGGGGGGCUGGACGUGCUGGACGCAGAGUUCUCCAAGACCUGGGAGUUCAAGAGCCACAACGUGGCUGUCUACUCCAUCCAAGGCCGGAGGGAUCACAUGGAGGACAGGUUCGAAGUAAUCACUGACCUGGUGAACAAGACUCAUCCCUCCAUCUUCGGGAUAUUUGAUGGGCACGGAGGAGAGUCGGCCGCAGAAUAUGUGAAGUCUCGCCUGCCUGAAGUUCUAAAGCAACAUCUUCAGGACUAUGAGAAAGACAAGGAGAACAGUGUGCUGUCUUACCAAACCAUCCUGGAACAGCAGAUUUUAUCAAUUGAUCGAGAAAUGCUGGAAAAACUGACUGUAUCCUACGAUGAAGCAGGUACAACUUGUCUGAUCGCACUGCUGUCAGAUAAAGAACUCACAGUGGCCAACGUUGGUGAUUCUCGAGGAGUCUUGUGUGACAAGGAUGGGAAUGCUAUCCCCUUGUCACACGAUCACAAGCCCUACCAACUGAAAGAGAGGAAGAGGAUUAAAAGAGCUGGUGGUUUUAUCAGCUUUAAUGGUUCCUGGCGCGUUCAGGGGAUCCUGGCCAUGUCCCGCUCCUUAGGAGAUUACCCACUGAAGAACCUGAAUGUUGUCAUUCCUGACCCUGAUAUUCUUACCUUUGACCUGGACAAACUGCAGCCAGAGUUCAUGAUCUUGGCAUCGGAUGGUCUGUGGGAUGCCUUCAGCAACGAGGAAGCUGUCCGAUUCAUCAAGGAACGCUUGGAUGAACCACACUUCGGUGCAAAGAGUAUAGUUCUACAGUCCUUUUACAGAGGCUGUCCUGAUAAUAUAACAGUGAUGGUGGUGAAGUUCAGGAAUAGCAGCAAAACAGAAGAACAGUAAUUACCAGGGGUUCUCUGCCUCACUGUGGACUUCAAACAAACUCUUACAUUUUCAACGUAGUAGGAAGCUCUAGUAAAUACCGAUGAUGUUCCCGUUGUACUGGCUGUUCUUUGCAGAACACUGCCUGGAUGUUUGUCAAAACCACUGCCCAGGGAAAAGAAGAAUUAGACUCAGCAGCCUACAGAACUCUAAAGCUGAGGGAUGCUUGUAUAGUAGAGA